rnacentral:rRNA from 1 species
GGGGGGGCAAGCGUUGUUCGGAAUUACUGGGCGUAAAGGGCUCGUAGGUGGCCAACUAAGUCGGACGUGAAAUCCCUCGGCUUAACCGGGGAACUGCGUCCGAUACUGGUUGGCUUGAGUUUGGGAGAGGGAUGCGGAAUUCCAGGUGUAGCGGUGAAAUGCGUAGAUAUCUGGAGGAACACCGGUGGCGAAGGCGGCAUCCUGGACCAAUACUGACGCUGAGGAGCGAAAGCCAGGGGAGCAAACGGGAUUAGAUACCCCGGUAGUCCUGGCCCUAAACGAUGAAUGCUUGGUGUGGCGGGUAUCGAUCCCUGCCGUGCCGAAGCUAACGCAUUAAGCAUUCCGCCUGGGGAGUACGGUCGCAAGGCUG